rnacentral:lncRNA from 1 species
UCACUUUUAUUAUCAUAAAAUACUAAUUUAGCUUAAUUGCCCUGAUACCAACCACCAGCCUAAAUCACUAAGAACAAAAUGACAAAACUCCAGAUUCUGUUCCUGUAAAAAAUAAAAACAGAAAUCUAUACACACACAAUUUCCUUUUUAUUUGAAUUAGGUAUUUUUUAGCAAGAAUCCUAUCCUAUUUGAAAACAAGAGAAUUUGUAUAAAAGUAACACUUAAAGACUUAUAACUGAAUAAAAUAGAAAUAAAAAAGAAAUAUAAAUAAGUAGACUGGGAAUAGGAUUUCCUUCCACUUUCCAAAGUCGCCCUUUCCCAAGGCAUUGCAACAGAGGCACCUUGGGGGAAAUAUUAUCCAUUCCAAGUUCAAGAGAAGAAUAUUUUUAUUUUUAUUUUUUAUUUUUAUGACCAUAGGUAUUCAAGCCAGCUCACACGCACCUCGAUUAAUUUCACGAAACUCUGAAAUUUACAAUCGGGUACUUACCUCAAUGGCCCUAAGGAGACUCGAACUGGUGAUCAUUGGGAAACAAACUCAAGAUCUGACCACUGAGCUAUCCCUCAGGGUUAAGUUCAAGAGAUGAUAUAUCUAUACAAAUGAAUUUAUUCAACUAGAAAAUAUCUCCUCCGUAACUUAUAUAUCCUCACUAGCUACAGAAAAAUAAAACAAAAUAAAAAAUUGUCCUAUAUUACUGUAUAAAAGUUAAGAAUUAGAUCAGCCUACCACUAAUGCACCAAAUUUUGGUUCAGAACAUUCCAGUUCUCAUUCUCUCUCAUAUUUCGGGUAAAAACCACUGAAAAGAUACAGAUCGAAAAACAGGGUGCAUUCUCAUAAAUAUUCACUGCAUCCAUCAUGACCAAAGAGCUAUAUGUCACACUAAAACCUCUAAAGAUUUUAUUGUGUGAAUUGGAACAACUAGAAAGAAAUUUUUUUCUCGAAAUUUUUGGCACUUCAAGGGGCCAGUCUCCCAAAUCAAAUGAAAAGUUUGAAAAACAAGACAGUUUCAGUGAUCAGUUGAUUGUUGUACAAUCUGAACCCCUAAAACCCUGGAGUCAAACUUAGACCCAUGACUC